CAUGCCUUGAGUUUGUGCUAGUGUGGCUCAUGGUUCAGUUAUCCAAACCACUAAUAUGAUGGGUUUCGCUGUUGAUGACCCACACACCAAAGUUCCUCAAGAUUGAAAUAUUCCAACCCUUCAAUACCCAGCCAAGAAGUACACAUUUAAGAAAGAAAAAAUAGUGAUAGUUCGAACUCAAUAGAAAACUGGCCAAAUAUCAAUGACUAGGAUCUGGCAAUCUUGGCUUUUUUUCUUUUUUUUGAGUGCAUCACAUCAACAAUUUAAACCACUGAACCAUGUAGUUUGGCAUGCUCAAAACUUGUGGCAGUGACAGAUGUUGAUAAGCCUUCAUACUUCUUUGUCAUUUUACGUCUGCUUAUUUAUAACAUGUGGGCUUUUCUCUAGAUUGGUCAUAACAUGUUCUAGUAGAGGAACCUAGUUCAAAUGAUGCUGGUUCUUUAGUUCUCAUUUUUGGUCCCUUAGUUAUUGGACCUUAUCAUAAAAGCUACCUUCUCCUAUGGUCCAUCUGCUUUGUAUUAUUUCCUGUCAGAGGAGGAAAUGGAGAUCCUUCUACUAGAAACUGCAGAUUUUACUGUAGAUUUCACUGGCGCAAAGCUGCAAAAUAUAUUUUAGUUACUUCCUAAUGAAUUGUUUCUAUUUUCCCAUUAGGAGAUUUUUUUAAAACCAUCUUGCAACUGAUUGGUAGGAAUGAACCUGGAAUUUUAACUGCUAGAAAGGAUUUAGACUACAUUGGAUGAGAAGAACUGUUGGAAGCCUUGAAGAGGCAAAAGGGUACGUUUGAAACCGGUCAAGAAGAUAGUACUGAAAUUCUGGAGGAGUUAAAGCUGAGGUUGGCAUACAGGGAAGCAGCUGUGGCUGUUCUUGCAUGCUACAAUCCAAAUCCUCACCGUCCUUUCACUGAGGUCAAUGCUAGAAUGAUUUCUUCAUCAGUCGAUAAUUUGUUUCAAGAUCAGAGGCUUAUUUGUGUUAAACCACAUCUGGAAUUUGUUGCAGACUAAUAUUCGUUCCAUUCGCAGCAAGCCAAAUAUGCGUUAUGUUGAGACUACCGGAAGGUUUUUUUGAGAAAGUUAGAUUAUGUAGAAUCUAUAGUCCGUGCAUGUGCCCCGGUACUGGGUCCGAAUGGAAGUGGUAAAAGCAACGUCAUAGAUGCAAUGCUCUUUGUAUUUGGGAAACGAGCUAAGCAGGUAAGCUCCAUUUAUAUGUGGGAAUCUAAUCUGGGUCAUAGAUGCAAUGCUCUUUAUAUUGAUUUGUUGCAAAA